GAUGAACGCUGGCGGCGUGCCUAAUACAUGCAAGUCGAGCGAACGGACGAGAAGCUUGCUUCUCUAAUGUUAGCGGCGGACGGGAGAGUAACACGUGGAUAACCUACCUAUAAGACUGGGAUAACUUCGGGAAACCGUAGCUAAUACCGGAUAAUAUUUUGAACCGCAUGGUUCAAAAGUGAAAGACGGUCUUGCUGUCACGUAUAGAUGGAUCCGCGCUGCAUUAGCUAGUUGGUAAGGUAACGGCUUACCAAGGCAACGAUGCAUAGCCGACCUGAGAGGGUGAUCGGCCAGACUGGAACUGAGACACGGCACAGACUCCUACGGGAGGCAGCAGUAGGGAAUCUUCCGCAAUGGGCGAGAGCCUGACGGAGCAACGUCGCGUGAGGGAUGAAGGUGUUCGGAUCGUAAAACUCUGUUAUUAGUGGAGAACAAAUGUGUUAGUAACUGUGCACAUCUUGACGGUACCUAAUCAGAAAGCCACGGCUAACUACGUG
rnacentral:rRNA from 1 species